GGCAUUUCCUGAUCAAGUGUUAGAGAUUGUAGAUCCAAUUCUUCUACAAGAAGAUGAAGCUAGAGCAAAUGAUGAGCAAGGUUCAACCCAAUCAGCAAGAAUUGAUAACAGAAGUGAAAGUCUAAUUUCCAUGAUCAAGACUGGAAUAGCAUGCUCCAUGGAAGCUCCUCAAGAUAGAAUGGGCAUAAGUGAUGCACUCAAC
rnacentral:misc_RNA from 1 species